GACGAAGGGGGCUAGCGUUGUUCGGAAUUACUGGGCGUAAAGGGCUCGUAGGCGGCCAACUAAGUCAGACGUGAAAUCCCUCGGCUUAACCGGGGAACUGCGUCUGAUACUGGAUGGCUUGAGUUUGGGAGAGGGAUGCGGAAUUCCAGGUGUAGCGGUGAAAUGCGUAGAUAUCUGGAGGAACACCGGUGGCGAAGGCGGCAUCCUGGACCAACACUGACGCUGAGGAGCGAAAGCCAGGGGAGCAAACGGG
rnacentral:rRNA from 1 species